UAUGGUAUGUGCCAGCCGCCGCGGUAAAACGUAGGGUGCAAGCGUUGUCCGGAAUUACUGGGUGUAAAGGGAGCGCAGGCGGAUUGGCAAGUUGGGAGUGAAAUCUAUGGGCUCAACCCAUAAAUUGCUUUCAAAACUGUCAGUCUUGAGUGGUGUAGAGGUAGGCGGAAUUCCCGGUGUAGCGGUGGAAUGCGUAGAUAUCGGGAGGAACACCAGUGGCGAAGGCGGCCUACUGGGCACUAACUGACGCUGAGGCUCGAAAGCAUGGGUAGCAAACAGG
rnacentral:rRNA from 1 species